UACGUAGGGUGCAAGCGUUAUCCGGAUUCACUGGGUUUAAAGGGCGCGUAGGCGGACACUUACGUCCGUGGUGAAAUCUCUGGGCUUAACCCAGAAACUGCCAUGGAUACUAUUUGUCUUGAAUGUUGUGGAGGUUAGCGGAAUAUGUCAUGUAGCGGUGAAAUGCAUAGAUAUGACAUAGAACACCAAUUGCGAAGGCAGCUGGCUACACAAAUAUUGACGCUGAGGAACGAAAGCGUGGGGAUCAAACAGG
rnacentral:rRNA from 1 species